GGCCAGAGGGGAAAAGGGGUGGUGGUGAGAAAAAGUAGAUGAUAAAAGCACCCCAGUAAGCAUCCCAUCUCAACACCCACGCCCCCGGAGUGAGGGUGCAAGCAUCCAUCUGCCAAGGAGCACGUGCUCAUCUGAUGCUGCAUUUCACGCAGGCUGAGAGGCAUCAUUUUGCAAUCAGGAGAAAGGACAGAGACAUUAAAAUACGGACACACACAAGGCGGCGAGGAUGGAAAGUGAAAUCGGGGUCUCUGACCUGAAGUCCUCGGAGCCGGCAGAGCAGAUGUACAGCAGCAGCUCAAACAUCAACUCCUCAAAGAAGCCGCCCCUGACUCUCCAGACCAGAUCAGGUCCUGUAUUAAAUAUUCUCGCAGCCCUCUGAUUUUCCCCUCACAGUCUUUAUUGCAACGUGGAAUUGUAUAUCAUAGUUUGACUAAUGUUAUUUUCCCCCACAGAGCAGGAGCUUCAAAAAUAUUAAUGAGGGGCUUCCCUGGUGGCUCAGUGGUUGAGAGUCCACCUGCCAACGCAGGGGACACGGGUUCGUGCCCCGGUCCGGGAAGAUCCCACAUGCCACGGAGCGGCUGGGUCCAUGAGCCAUGGCCGCUGAGCCGGCGCGUCCGGAGCCUAUGCUCCGCAACGGGAGAGGCCACAACAGUGAGAGGCCCGCGUACCGCAAAAAAAAAAACUAAUGAGGACUUCCCUGGUGGUGCAGUGGUUAAGAAUCUGCCUGCCAGUGCAGGGGACACGGGUUCGAUCCCUGGACCAGGAAGAUCCCACAUGUGGCGGAGCAACUAAGCCUGUGCGCCACAACUACUGAGCCUGCGCUCUAGAGCUCACGUGCCACAACUACUGAAGCCCACUCACUCUAGGGCCCGUGCUCCACAACAAGAGAAGCCACCGCAAUGAGAAGCCGGUGCACCGCAACAAAGAGUAGCCCCUACUCGCCACAACUAGAGAAAGCCCGCACGCAGCAAUGAAGACCCAACAGAGCCAAAAGAAAAAAUACUAAUGAACGAAUGAAUGAACACAGUCAUAUAUUCAUCAAGGCACACUGUCGUACACCAGGCACAGUGGUUUUCGUGGUGGAGGACAACAAGAUGCAGCUGAAAUCAUCCUGGCACUCAGAAAGGUUACUAUUCAGUACAGUCUAUAAUGUGCGAAAAAGGCAUCACGUGAUACAUAUCACAAGGGGCUUUUAGAGAAAAUCCAGAGGGAAUCCAAAGCUUUGUCGUGAACAACAGGACCUGGACCGGAGGACUGCUAAGCUC